CAUGCAGAGGUCGGGUUCGAACCACGAACCUUCACGUCAGUAAAUUCACGCUCUAACCACUGAGCCAUCUCAC
rnacentral:tRNA from 11 species